rnacentral:rRNA from 1 species
ACUACGGGUGGCAGCAGUGAGGAAUAUUGGUCAAUGGACGAGAGUCUGAACCAGCCAAGUAGCGUGAAGGAUGACUGCCCUAUGGGUUGUAAACUUCUUUUAUAUGGGAAUAAAAUGUUCCACGUGUGGGAUUUUGUAUGUACCAUAUGAAUAAGGAUCGGCUAACUCCGUGCCAGCAGCCGCGGUAAUACGGAGGAUCCGAUCGUUAUCCGGAUUUAGUUGGUUUAAAGGGUGCGUAGGCGGACAGUCAAGUCAGCGGUAAAAAUGCGGUGCUAAACGCCGUACAGCCGUUGAAACUGGCAGUCUUGAGUGGGCGAGAAGUAUGCGGAAUGCGUGGGGUAGCGGUGAAAUGCAGAGAUAUCACGAAGAACUCCGAUUGCGAAGGCAGCAUACCGGCGCCCUACUGACGCUGAGGCACGAAAGCGUGGGUAUCGAACAGGAUUAGAUACCCUGGUAGUC